rnacentral:rRNA from 1 species
GAUGAACGCUGGCGGCGUGCCUAAUACAUGCAAGUCGAGCGAACGGACGAGAAGCUUGCUCCUCUGACGUUAGCGGCGGACGGGUGAGUAACACGUGGAUAACCUACCUAUAAGACUGGGAUAACUUCGGGAAACCGGAGCUAAUACCGGAUAAUAUAUUGAACCGCAUGGUUCAAUAGUGAAAGACGGUCUUGCUGUCACUUAUAGAUGGAUCCGCGCUGCAUUAGCUAGUUGGUAAGGUAACGGCUUACCAAGGCAACGAUGCAUAGCCGACCUGAGAGGGUGAUCGGCCACACUGGAACUGAGACACGGUCCAGACUCCUACGGGAGGCAGCAGUAGGGAAUCUUCCGCAAUGGGCGAAAGCCUGACGGAGCAACGCCGCGUGAGUGAUGAAGGUCUUCGGAUCGUAAAACUCUGUUAUUAGGGAAGAACAAAUGUGUAAGUAACUAUGCACGUCUCGACGGUACCUAAUCAGAAAGCCACGGCUAGCUACGUG